rnacentral:rRNA from 1 species
GAUGAACGCUGGCGGCGUGCCUAAUACAUGCAAGUCGAGCGAACGGACGAGAAGCUUGCUUCUCUGAUGUUAGCGGCGGACGGGUGAGUAACACGUGGAUAACCUACCUAUAAGACUGGGAUAACUUCGGGAAACCGGAGCUAAUACCGGAUGAUAUUUUGAACCGCAUGGUUCAAAAGUGAAAGACGGUCUUGCUGUCACUUAUAGAUGGAUCCGCGCUGCAUUAGCUAGUUGGUAAGGUAACGGCUUACCAAGGCAACGAUGCAUAGCCGACCUGAGAGGGGGAUCGGCCACAUGGGAACUGGGACACGGUCCAGACUCCUACGGGAGGCAGCAGUAGGGAAUCUUCCGCAAUGGGCGAAAGCCUGACGGAGCAACGCCGCGUGAGUGAUGAAGGUCUUCGGAUCGUAAAACUCUGUUAUUAGGGAAGAACAUAUGUGUAAGUAACUGUGCACAUCUUGACGGUACCUAAUCAGAAAGCCACGGCUAACUACGUG